CUCACGUUCUCAACUGACGUAUCAUCCCUAUCUGCCAUGAAAAAUCAUGGCAGUGAAGAUGAGAGCACGAAAAAAUUUAUGGGUGCAGUGGGUAUCGAGACAGAGAAAAAUAGAAAGCAUCAACAUUUACAAACACAAAAACUGUGUGUAAAAAGGCACCAGAAUUCUCAAAAUCCAUAUGACAUCUGCCAUGAAAAAUC
rnacentral:lncRNA from 1 species